rnacentral:rRNA from 1 species
CUGGGCGUAAGCGCGCGUAGGCGGGAAUUUAAGUCAGGAGUGAAAACUGAGGGCUCAACCCUCAGCCUGCUUCUGAAACUGGAUUUCUUGAGGGUAUGAGAGGAAAGCGGAAUUCCUAGUGUAGCGGUGAAAUGCGUAGAUAUUAGGAGGAACACCAGUGGCGAAGGCGGCUUUCUGGCAUACAACUGACGCUGAGGCGCGAAAGCGUGGGGAGCAAACGGGAUUAGAUACCCCGGUAGUCCACGCCGUAAACGAUGAGCACUAGGUGUAGGAGGUAUCGACCCCUUCUGUGCCGUAGUUAACACAAUAAAUGCUCCGCCUGGGGAGUACGGCCGCAAGGUUGAAACUCAAAGGAAUUGACGGGGGCCCGCACAAGCGGUGGAGUAUGUGGUUUAAUUCGACGCAACGCGAAGAACCUUACCAGGGCUUGACAUCCUCUGACGUCCAUGGAAACAUGGAGUUCAUGCUUCGGUAUGACAGAGAGACAGGUGGUGCAUGGUUGUCGUCAGCUCGUGUCGUGAGAUGUUGGGUUAAGUCCCGCAACGAGCGCAACCCUUAUCUUUAGUUGCCAUCAGGUAAUGCUGGGCACUCUGGAGAGACUGCCGGUGACAAACCGGAGGAAGGUGGGGAUG